GCCCCCGUUGUCUAAUGGUUAUGACGUCAGACUUCUACCGGCUUGAUGUUCCGUGCAGACGUGUGUUCGGUGAUCUGGAGGUUGCGAGUUCGAGUCUCGCCGGGGGCU